AAAGGGGCUUCGGCUCCGAGUAAAGUGGCGCACGGGUGAGUAACACGUGGGUAACCUGCCUCUAAGAUUGGGAUAACUCGUCGAAAGAUGAGCUAAUACCGGAUAAGACCACAGUUCCCGCGGGAACCGGGGUCAAAGGUAGCCUCUGCUUGCAAGCUAUCACUUAGAGAUGGGCCUGCGCACCAUUAGCUAGUUGGUAGGGUAACGGCCUACCAAGGCAAAGAUGGUUAGCUGGUCUGAGAGGAUGAUCAGCCACACUGGAACUGAGACACGGUCCAGACUCCUACGGGAGGCAGCAGUGGGGAAUAUUGCGCAAUGGGCGAAAGCCUGACGCAGCAACGCCGCGUGAGUGAUGAAGGCCUUCGGG
rnacentral:rRNA from 1 species